rnacentral:rRNA from 1 species
GACGAACGCUGGCGGCGUGCUUAACACAUGCAAGUCGAACGGAAAGGCCCUGCUUUUGUGGGGUGCUCGAGUGGCGAACGGGUGAGUAACACGUGAGUAACCUGCCCUUGACUUUGGGAUAACUUCAGGAAACUGGGGCUAAUACCGGAUAGGAGCUCCUGCUGCAUGGUGGGGGUUGGAAAGUUUCGGCGGUUGGGGAUGGACUCGCGGCUUAUCAGCUUGUUGGUGGGGUAGUGGCUUACCAAGGCUUUGACGGGUAGCCGGCCUGAGAGGGUGACCGGCCACAUUGGGACUAAGAUACGGACCAGAAUCCUACGGGAGGCAACAGUGGGGAAUAUUGCACAAUGGGCGGAAGCCUGAUGCAGCAGCGCCGCGUGCGGGAUGACGGCCUUCGGGUUGUGAACCGCUUUCGCCUGUAACGAAGCGUGAGUGACGGUAAUGGGUAAAGAAGCACCGGCUAACUACGUG